ACAGAGGGUGCGAGCGUUGUCCGGAAUCACUGGGCGUAAAGGGCGCGUAGGCGGCCGGAUAAGUCGGAGGUGAAAUCCCGUGGCUCAACUGCGGGGCUGCCUUCGAGACUGUUUGGCUUGAGCGCGGUAGAGGCUGGUGGAAUUCCCGGUGUAGCGGUGGAAUGCGUAGAGAUCGGGAGGAACAUCGGUGGCGAAGGCGGCCAGCUGGGCCUGGCCUGACGCUAAGGCGCGAAAGCAUGGGGAGCGAACGG
rnacentral:rRNA from 1 species